UACGUAGGGUCCGAGCGUUGUCCGGAAUUAUUGGGCGUAAAGAGCUCGUAGGCGGUCUGUCACGUCGGCUGUGAAAACACGGGGCUCAACUCCGUGCCUGCAGUCGAUACGGGCAGACUAGAGUUCGGUAGGGGAGACUGGAAUUCCUGGUGUAGCGGUGAAAUGCGCAGAUAUCAGGAGGAACACCGGUGGCGAAGGCGGUUCUCUGGGCAUUACCUGACGCUGAGGAGCGAAAGUGUGGGGAGCGAACAGG
rnacentral:rRNA from 1 species